rnacentral:lncRNA from 13 species
AUGAAGAGUGAUAAGUCUAUGGGUCUACCUAUAUUCUUUACAGAGGGAGACUUUUCUACUGAACAAAGAAACCAACAGGAGAGAUCAGAGUCAGAGAUUCUCAGUGGUCAGUCUUCCCAGAGUCAUCAAACAGACCUGGCCUCCAUAUUCAGUGUAUGUGGUCCUGUUAUGUACAUUUGUUUUUGUUUACCUCAAGUAAAGUUGAUCUGUCAAUCAUUCAUUAAUGUGUUAAUGAGAAAGCAUUUAUUCUCUUAAUUAACUUAUUUACUUGAUUUAUUUCAGUUGCUUGAAGAGAAAAUGAUUACAUUUGUGAAGAAGGAGCUGAAGAUAUUCAAGAGGAUUCUUAGUCCAGAACUCCCAGAAGGCUUUGAGAGUCAGUUGCAGGAUAAGGAAGUGGUGGACGCUGAAGAUGAGAAGCAGGAGAGCAGUGCCAGAGAGGGGGCUCUGAAGAUCACACUGCACGUCCUGAGGAAAAUGAACCAGAAGGAGCUUGCUGACAUACUGGAGAAAUGUAAGAGCUGGCUGCCUUAUGUUGAAUGAUGUUUUAUAACAUUUAAAAGCUGUAGCUAAAGUACAGCUAAAGUACCUGUGUAACUCAAUGAUAUUGUAGCAGCCUAAAAAUAGAGAGAGAGAGAUGGGAGAGAGGGUGAGAGAGAGAGAGGGUGAGAGAGAGAGGGUGAAAGAGAGAGAGGGUGAAAGAGGGACAGGGUGAGAGAGAGAGAGAGAGAGAGGGUGAGAGAGAGAGAGAGAGCGAGAGAGAGAGAGAGAGGGUGCGGGAGAGAGAGAGGGUGUGAGAGAGAGGGUGAGAGAGAGAGAGAGAGAGAGAGACCUAGUCAAAUCAAAUUGAUUUAUAUAGCCCUUCGUAAAUCAGCUGAUAUCUCAAAGUGCUGUACAGAAACCCAGCCUAAAACCCCAAACAGCAAGAAAUGCAGGUGUAGAAGCACGGUGGCUAGGAAAAACUCCCUAGAAAGGCCAAAACCUAGGAAGAAACCUAGAGAGGUACCAGGCUAUGAGGGGUGGCCAGUCUUCUUCUGGCUGUGCCGGGUGGAGAUUAUAACAGAACAUGGCGAAGAUGUUCAAAUGUUCAUAAAUGACCAGCAUGGUCCAACACACCUAGUGACCUCAUCAAGUAGCUGCAGGGAUGUGUUGUGAUGAUUUAUUUAUUUAGAGAGAGAGAAAACAUGAAUAAUACCAUCAAUAAUAAUAAUAUAAUCAGUCACACCAGUCUGUAAUGUAUUAUGGUAUACAGUCAGUUAUGAGAAGUGGG